UGGAGUUUAGAGAGGAUGAGCAGAAC
rnacentral:piRNA from 1 species